rnacentral:rRNA from 1 species
GUUCUACCUUGACGAAUUGUAGUUUAAAGAAGUGUUUUCUGUUAGAGGAGUGGCAAAAGUUCUUUGGAAUAGGACAUCAUAGAGGGUGAGAAUCCCGUAUUUGGUCAUUCUUUCUAGCUGUGUGAUACACUUUCAAAGAGUCGGAUUGUUUGGGAAUGCAGUCCAAAAUGGGUGGUAAAUUUCAUCUAAAGCUAAAUAUUGGCGAGAGACCGAUAGCGAACAAGUACCGUGAGGGAAAGAUGAAAAGAACUUUGAAAAGAGAGUUAAACAGUACGUGAAAUUGUCAAAAGGGAAGCGUUUGACACCAGUGUUGUUUUUCCGAAAAUCAAUUGUGCUUGGCUGGAUUUUGUAGGAGUUUGACCUUAUCAGCUACUUCUGCUUUUUUCCUGUCCGGUGC